UACGAAGGGGCUAGCGUUGUCCGGAAUCAUUGGGCGUAAGCGCGUGUAGGCGGUCCGGUAAGUCCGCUGUGAAAGUCGGGGGCUCAACCCUCGGAUGCCGGUGGAUACUGUCGGGCUUGAGUACGGAAGAGGCGAGUGGAAUUCCUGGUGUAGCGGUGAAAUGCGCAGAUAUCAGGAGGAACACCAAUUGCGAAGGCAGCUCGCUGGGACGUUACUGACGCUGAGACGCGAAAGCGUGGGGAGCAAACAGG
rnacentral:rRNA from 1 species